AGGGUUUCACAUCCAUUCAUUUCAAAACGUUUCAAAACAUAUCGCCGCUCCCUUGCUCCUCUCUCUCUCUCUCUCUCUCGCGAUUUCACCAGAUCUAUGAAGUUUCAACAGAUCGAUGAAGAUUCAGACCUCCUGGUUCCGAUUUCUGGCUUUUAUUGGCUUUAUUUCAUCCCUAAUUUCUCUUCCCUUUCGUCUUCCUUCUUACGAAGAGCAAUAUCCAUCUUCAAGAGGUUACUCAUAGGCUUGCUCAGAUCGACGGAGAAGAGUUGCAACGGAGAAGAGGUGCAACUGAGACUUUUAGAUCUGCGAUCCCCAAACCCUAAUACGGUAAAACUUUUAGAUCUGGUAUGUUUAUAUGCAGGUUGGGGGAUUUUGAUUUCAGGUUAGUGGUCUGAUUUAUCAUAUUGCGAUUUUAUACAUGUUUAAUUACAUGAGCGAGUUUAAUACCUGGGUCAAUUUUGUUUUUUCUUUCAGGUCAUUUCCGGCUGUUGUUCUAUCUUUAUCGCAAACUUAAAGUUCAAUGUCUGGACCACUCGAUUGAUUUGAAAGACCUUGUUUUGUUUUCCGUGUCAACACGGUCAACGAAUAUGCAUCUUUUGUUCUGAAGGAUGUGGUGAGAACCAAGACUUAUCUAAACAUCUUCUGCAAGAACAAAUUUUUAUUCAAAGAAAAGAUUGUUCUUGACGUUGGUGCCGGGACCGGAAUAUUAUCCCUCUUCUGUGCAAAAGCUGGGGCAAAACAUGUUUAUGCUAUUGAGUGCUCACAGAUGGCUGACAUGGCACCAGAGAUUGUUAAGGGGAACGGUUUUUCAAAUGUGGAGGUUGUAAAUGGUGGAAAAGACCUGCACAUCUCUGCUACCAUGCCCUGCCAUGCCAUUGAGCCUGGUCCGGAUUCGGUUGGGAUCUUUACGAUUUUAUAGAGUUGUAGUGGAGUGGCAGCUAGAGCCUUCGAUUUUAGAGAUUCUUAAAGAUGUGGGCGCCUUAUGCGCGUAUCGGAAAGCAGUCGGUGAUUUGGUCCAGCGGUUUGUCUAACGAGUGGAUUGAAAAGGGGCGGCAACUGGCAGAGGUGCUUCCUCAUGCGGCAUUUGUCACACAUUCUGGUGGCUGCUGGCCACAGGUGAGAAUUUAGAUCUUUGGCAAUUGGCAGGAACUUGCAGCCUCAAAACCCAUUUCGCAGCUGCCCCAUAAAGCCCGAAAUCUUCAUAAGUUUUCAUCUGGACCAAUCCGAAUUAAUCAACAAUCACCAGAAGAUGUUCAUGGAGAGGGUGAAGCAACUGAAACACUUUUAUUAUCGAUUUCAUGCAAUUACUGUGAAUAGAACAGUGAAGCAAACUGUUUGAAAUCGUUCUAUUUUGAUUUUCAGACUCGCGAUUAUCUAAUGAAUCUGUUUUUGCCAGCUGUGAGGAUGAUCGUUGAAACGCCUCAAAACGUUGCAAAGAGUCAAGAGCCUUCAGUUCUGGCGAAUUGAGACCGUCAGUUAAUUCCUAUAACCAUGAGGAUAAAGGAAGUGUUGUGGUUGAUAAUGUUAAGAAGAAACUGUGUAAAAAGGGUUUCAGGUUCCUCCUCCCCCGAAUCUGCGCGAAACGAAAGCCAAGGUUCAUUAGAGCCAGUCUUCUGUUACUGAGUCUCCUGUACCUGUGCCACGGUUGUCGCGAAGAACUGCAUACAAUUGACCAUUGACUCAAGUCUUGAGAAGGUAAUCUUGAGACUUUUAUGUUAAAUUUUGUUUGAAUGGUAUUACUUAAUCCGAAUAACUGAAUACGAUAACGGGUCAAACGGUUGAAUGAGGCUGUCUAAUGUGUGUCCUAAACACAUUAUUAUAUCACUAACGUUAAUGCACUUACCUUUUCAGCUAAAACAAUGCCUUGUCUCUUGCCAUUGUUUCAUCGGGCAGUAUGAUUUAAGUUUUGAUUUUAGUUGAGGGUAUUUUGGACAUUUGGUAGUUACUAAAACAAUUUAUGUUUUUUUAUUGUUUUAGAUACUUCUGGAUCUGGUUUUCAGGCUAAAGAUUUUGAUUCAAUAGUCUGAUAACUUGCUUUGGUCAGUACUUGUAGCACUGUAUCACUUCAGUUCAGGGCAGGCAACUUGUAAUUGUGAAAACUCUCCUUUUCUUGAUUAUUUCCAACUUUUAGUAAAUUAAAAAGGUUAGUUAUUAUGAAAUGCAUGAAUCAUUCAUAAGAAUAAGUCUUGCAGGUUUGAUACAGCCAUUCUAUCAGGUGUGAAACUAACACUAAUGUUGUUCGCUUGGUAUAAUUGGAAUAACCAUCAAAGCUAUUGUCAAAAGAUCAAGUUUAAGAGCAGAAACAGUGUCUCAACUUAUAGCAACUUAUAGCUGGCAACGUUGAAGAUCAGAUAUCAAAAAAAAAAAAAAAACAAAUUACUUUAGGUUGCUACUAUUUUAAUUAAAGAAUUAUAUGAAUCUCAUGGGGUUUUAA